CCCCGAGAUCAAGAGUCACAUGCUCUUCCGUCGGAGCCAACCAGACGCUCACUAGGUUUCUUUUAAGUUCACCUACAAAGGACCAGAAGAAAGAACUCCAAGAAGGCUGAAGAAGUAAAAAAGUCUUCUGGGGGCUGCUGGUCUGGAGCGAAUCCCUGCAGAAUGAGGGAGAUGUGAGUCCUUGGAAGGCAAGGGAAUGAACAGGACUUUCCAUUUCAGAGUGAAAACCAGUGGCUUAAGAGCCUAUUUGGGAAACAAUUCAAGUCAGAAGAUGAAUUAGUGAAUACAGAAGGCCUGGGAUGAGCUGAGCCAGAAAUGCCCCAAAUCCAUUCUGCAGCCAGCUAGCCUGUCCCAUAGCAGCACCACUCUGCCAGGUGGCUCCAGAUUCUGCAAGCUUUCCAUUUUUCGAUGCGGUGAGCACCUCUGUCAGCUCUGGUCCCGUCAAAAGGAGCCCCAAGCAGGUACUUACAUCUUUGGUUUUCAACUUGGCCAGAACUUCAGUAAAGAAAAAAAACCCAA